CACGUAGGCGGAUUGGAAAGUUGGGGGUGAAAUCCCGGGGCUCAACCCCGGAACUGCCUUCAAAACUCCCAGUCUGGAGGUCGAGAGAGGUGAGUGGAAUUCCGAGUGUAGAGGUGAAAUUCGUAGAUAUUCGGAGGAACACCAGUGGCGAAGGCGGCUCACUGGCUCGAACCUGACGCUGAGGUGCGAAAGCGUGGGGAGCAAACA
rnacentral:rRNA from 1 species